AGACACUUAUAGAAAGAAAGAAAGAAAGAAGGAAAAGAAAAGAAAAGAAAAUACUGGCCCAAAAGU
rnacentral:ribozyme from 14 species